rnacentral:misc_RNA from 1 species
GAAAUGCGAUAAGUAAUGUGAAUUGCAGAAUUCAGUGAAUCAUCGAAUCUUUGAACGCACAUUGCGCCCGCCAGCAUUCUGGCGGGCAUGCCUGUUCGAGCGUCAUUUCAACCCUCGACUUCCCUUUGGGGAAAUCGGCGUUGGGGACCGGCAGCAUACCGCCGGCCCCGAAAUGGAGUGGCGGCCCGUCCGCGGCGACCUCUGCGUAGUAAUCCAACCUCGCACCGGAACCCCGACGUGGCCACGCCGUAAAACACCCCACUUUCUGAACGUUGACCUCGGAUCAGGUAGGAAUACCCGCUGAACUUAA